rnacentral:misc_RNA from 1 species
AACAAGGCGUACCUGCGGACCUGCGGAGGGAUCAUUACCAGAGAGCCUUUUGGCACUCCAACCCAUUGUGAACAUACCUAUCGUUCCCUCGGCGGGCUCAGCGCGCGGGGCCUCCGGGCUUCCGGGCGUCCGCCGGGGACAACCAAACCCUGAUUUACUACGUGUAUCUCUGAGGGGCGAAAGCCCGAAAACAAAAUAAAUCAAAACUUUCAGCAACGGAUCUCAGAUCGGAAGAGCACA